CGGUUGAUCCUGCCGGAGGCUACUGCUAUCGGAAUUCGAUUAAGCCAUGCGAGUCGAGAGGGUUCGGCCCUCGGCUGACUGCUCAGUAACACGUGGAUAACUUGCCCUCAGGUAGGGGAUAAUCUCGGGAAACUGAGGAUAAUACCCUAUAAACAUCCUUUGCUGGAACGCUUGGAUGUUCAAAGGCAACGCCUGAGGAUAGGUCUGCGGCCUAUCAGGUUGUAGUGGGUGUAACGGACCCACUAGCCAGCGACGGGUACGGGCCUUGAAUGAGGUAGCCCGGAGAUGGACUCUGAGACACGAGUCCAGGCCCUACGGGGCGCAGCAGGCGCGAAAACUUCGCAAUGCGGGAAACCGUGACGAGGGAAUUCCGAGUGCUCAUACAAUGUAUGGGCUUUUCUGAUGUGCAAAAAGCAUUAGGAAUAAGGGCUGGGUAAGACCGGUGCCAGCCGCCGCGGUAAUACCGGCAGCUCUAGUGGUAGCCACUUUUAUUGGGCCUAAAGCGUCCGUAGCCGGUCGGGUAAAUCCUUGGGUAAAUCGUACAGCUUAACUGUGCGGAUUCCGGGGAGACUGCUUGACUUGGGACCGGGAGAGGUUGGAGGUACUCCUGGGGUAGGGGUGAAAUCCUGUAAUCCUAGGUGGACCACCGGUGGCGAAGGCGUCCAACCAGAACGGCUCCGACGGUGAGGGACGAANGGCUAGGGGCGCAAACCGGAUUAGAUACCCGGGUAGUCCUAGCUGUAAACGCUGCAGACUUGGUGUU
rnacentral:rRNA from 1 species